UACGGGGGGGGACGAGUGUUAUUCAUCAUUAUUGGGCGUAAAGGGCUCGUAGGCGGUUGGUCACGUCGGGGAGUGAAAAACUCAGGGCUCAACCCUGAGCGUGCUUCCGAUACGGGCCCGACUAGAGGUAUCAGGGGGAGAACGGAAUUCCUGGUGGUAGCGGUGGAAUGCGUAGAUAUCGGGAGGAACACCAGUGGCGAAGGCGACUACCUGGCCUGUUCUUGACGCUGAGGCGCGAAACUAGGG
rnacentral:rRNA from 1 species